CGGGACGGGUGAGUAAUGUCUGGGAAACUGCCUGAUGGAGGGGGAUAACUACUGGAAACGGUAGCUAAUACCGCAUAACGUCGCAAGACCAAAGAGGGGGACCUUCGGGCCUCUUGCCAUCGGAUGUGCCCAGAUGGGAUUAGCUAGUAGGUGGGUAACGGCUCACCUAGGCGACGAUCCCUAGCUGGUCUGAGAGGAUGACCAGCCACACUGGAACUGAGACACGGUCCAG
rnacentral:rRNA from 1 species